rnacentral:miRNA from 1 species
ACGGGUAUUCUUGGGCAAAUAAU